rnacentral:rRNA from 1 species
GUCUAUGGCCAUAUCACCCUGAACAUGCCCAAUUUCAUCUGGUCUUGGAAACUAAGCUGGGUCAGGCCUGAUUAAUACUUGGAUGGGAAAAAGAUCUUCAGAGGAGUCUUCUCAGAGAAAAUCAGUUUGGAGACA